UCACCCUCCCCCCUCCCCUUCCUUAUGGGUGUUCCCCUCCCAAACCUCCCCCCAUUGCCACCCUCCCCGCAUAGUCUAGUUCACUGGGGGUUCAGUCUUAGCAGGACCCAGGGCUUCCCCUUCCACUGGUGCUCUUACUAGGAUAUUCAUUGCUACCUAUGGGGACAGAGUCCAGGGUCAGUCCAUGUAUAGUCUUUAGGUAGUGGCUUAGUCCCUGGAAGCUCUGGUUGCUUGACAUUGUUGUACUUUUGGG
rnacentral:lncRNA from 1 species